rnacentral:rRNA from 1 species
AGAGACCUCAAGCGUUAUCCGGAAUCAUUGGGCGUAAAGCGUACCGAUAGGUGGUUUUGUUAGUCUUGGGUAAAAGCCAGAAGCUCAACUUCUGAGUUUGCUUAAGAUACUGCGAAACUAGAGGGGCAAAGAGGUGAUUGGAACGAAUGGUGUAGUAGUGAAAUGCGUUGAUAUCAUUCGGAACACCGAAAGCGAAGGCAGAUCACUGGGUGCCUCCUGACACUGCUAGGACGAAAGCGUGGGUAGCGAAUGGGAUUAGAUACCCCAGUAGUCCACGCUGUAAACGAUGAAUACUAGGCAUGCGCGAGUAUCGACCCUCGUGCGAGCCGUAGCUAACGCGUUAAGUAUUCCGCCUGGGGAGUACGGUCGCAAGACUA